GCUGAAGUGUGAAUGUUUGGCGCACAACUUUGUUUUUUCAGAAAUCAAAUCAAAUGUCAACACUGAAUUCUAACUGAAUUUACAACAGAGUGUAGUCAAUAAAUGCUGAAUAAUCGAAACAAGUUUAUUACGUAAAUCCAAAUGCAGCGUUCAGGUUCACCGGGAAAUGUAAAAGAAACGCCGUAUUUUGAUAAGGCCUAUUUUGAAUAUUAUACAAACAGUGCAGGAACAUCAAACAGCAGUCACAAUGUUUCUAGGCAUGCCAAAGUGCCCAAUCAAAGUGCACCCAAGCCUAUGUCGAUCUCUUCUAAUAAUGAGAAUGCUUCAUUAGUCCAACCGUCAUCGCACCUAACUCAUUGGUCUAGUGAUACAAUGACCAAUCAUGAAAAGGAGCAUUAUAAAAAAGCAUUGGACAAAAUAUACAUUGCUGUAAAAUCACGAACACAACAACUAAAUACAGAUUCUGGCUCUGACAGAGAUGAUAGCUUUGAAAGAAAGCAAUCUCCACCAAGUCCCUAUUCUUCAAAACAUGACUUUGGAGAGGAAACAUUGGAUAUUAGAAGAAGGCAGACGAGAAAGACUAGACUGAAUGAAUUUGAGUUACAAGAUAUUUAUGAAGAAUUGCGUCAAAUAAGUAAAAAAUUAAAAGAGGAAACACAUGCACUUCAAGUAUGGGAAGAAGAAUUACAGGAAAGAGAAGCCAUGUUAAAUGAUCGUGAAUACAUCACCAAUACCCAGCAAGAAUUUGUUAGUGAAACUUUGGAGGAGGAAAUACAGAGGCAAUGUACUAUUAUCGAUCAGGAAUAUCAAGGUCAGGUAAAUGAACUGCAGAAGGUUAUACACGAGAAAUCAAAGGAAGCUAACCGCCUUCGUGAUUCUUUCAAUACUAUAAGAACCACUCAUGAUGAUUUACGGAAGCAAUUUAUAGAAAUGCAAGACCAAAAUAGGCUUUUGGAAAGUCAAACAUUAAGUUUACAACAAAGGCUAAACAACCUUUUGCGUAAAAAUGAAUAUCAGGCAAAGAAGGAAGAAGCUGAAAAAAAUGAAAAAUUCAAUGAACAUGCGGUCUUGACGACAAAACGUGACAACGUUGAUAGCUUCAAGGCUCCAUCUAACUCAAAGUUUCGUGUAUCAGGUGUGUUGGAUGUAUUGUCAUGUCUCCUAAUAUGGAUAUCUGAUUCUGAAUUGGAAUACGUUUCACCGGAGGAAACUGAACUAAGAGGAAAAGCUAAAUCUAGCGAAGCUGCUUAUGGCAAAUGUGUCAAGAUUUUGCCUCCUUUGGCAGACCUUAUCUCAUAUAUCCCUACUGUUAACCCGGACGUUAUGCAUCCAUUGUUAAAGUUCGUAUAUUCAGUAAUGUUAUAUAUGGAACACUCACCUCAUGUAACACAGAAAUCAGUACUCGUGUCUACAUUUCGUAGAAUGGGGGAAGAGUUAUACAAACCUGAGGCAAUCAAACAUCGCGAAGGAAAGAUUGACGGGAGGAGAAGUAAAAUGACUGAUGAAAUAUACAUACGUAGUCCGAAUAUGGAUGAAAGAAUGCUUUCUACGUUGAUAAUUUUAAAAACAAUUUCGCGAGCUGACUACUUAUCCCAUACAUUUGAAGUUCUAAAAUCUGACUUGAGGGAGCAAGAGGGUAAACGACUCUUUAUAAACCACAAUGGAAUUAAUGUUAUCAUGGCUUUUAUGAAACCAAAAAAUGUUCUCUUGGAAUCCGCCAUUGAUGUUACCUUGCAAAUGUCCAUGGAAUCAGAUGUUGUCACUGAAUUUCUAAUUCGCUGCAGUACCAGCAAUUUUUUCAACGUUUGUACCAACCUCCUGCAAGAAAAAGGACUGCAACUCAAAAUUGUGGAAAAACUUAGCAUCAUUUUACAGCGACUUUCUAAAAUAAGGAAUAAUCGACGUUAUUUUGAAGCUUUUCAACUUGUUCCAGUUAUGCACGAACUUCUCAGACUAAAUGAUACAGACAACGCAUUUUUGUCGUUGAACCUGCGAUCUGUCUUAGUAAAUCUUAACGUUGUUCAUAAUGCGUAAUACCACACAGCUCGCGAGGAUCAAACUAAAAGAUAGUCAUCCGUUUCGUGAUGAUAUUUUCCUUUCACAUGUUUACUGAUAACCUCUCUGACUCCAGUGUAGUAAUAAGCGUUUAGGCAACUAGGUUAACACAGCUUAUCCCAAUGAUAAAGAUAUGAUACUGGCUAUAAGGCACCGAGUUUAAAUAUAAACAAUUAUGAAUGUUUUUAUCUCUGUUACCCUCUUACGUUAUAUUUCUAAAAUGACUGGCUUGUACCAAACGAGGUUGAACUAAGGCUAAGUGCUAAGUGUCAGACGCCCGUUUCAAACGUCGAAGGAUAAUAGCAACAACCUAAAUCAAUAUUAUUAUCAAGUUGUUAAACAUUGAUAACACCAUAAAUGGUCCAAGCGUCGUUCAUCAAGCAAUAUAAUCAACCUACUAUUUUUUUGCGAGACAACCUCUUUCGCGAAAUUUCGCUCUCACAAUACCCCUCCUGUCUGUGCACUACGCCAUGUUAAUUACGCUAAAGUGGUUCGAUAAGGUUCGAUAUAAAAGGUGAUUUAGCAGACAACUGAGACAUCAGAGUUUAUCAGUACGUUUGAUUUGAAAUAGCUGAUCACUGAGUAUUCUUAAUGAAAAGAAUAGAUUUGUUCCAGAAGCCAUUGUUAUUCAGCCAUACAAUUUACGUCAAUUACGUGUAUAUCAAAUGAAGAUGAAAACUAUCUUGUUUCUAACAUUUCACGGAAGUUGUGCCAUCUUCUAUAUGUAUGUCAUCCAUUGGUUAACAUUUACAAUUGGUCUGAAAAUUUUGGAAAUGGCAAGCUUUUUCACUGUCUGGACCACCAUAGUUCAUCUAAUAGUGUUCCUCGCCUUAGCAGCUCAUGAUGUUGGAAGAAUAUAUAAUGAAUAUGCAAGAAAGCAUGGAGACCUUGGUUCAACUCGAAUGGAUAUCUCUGUUAAUAAUGAGGACUUCCUUGGCUUAUUCCUUCAUCUUGCUCUUGUGAUGAGUUCAUUUACUCAAAGUUUAUUUUGGUUGUUUUUCUACAUUGACCGUGAAAUGAUUCUUCCCGAGACAGCUGGUAUACCAUCAUCUCUUAAUCAUAUGCUGCAUACUUUACCGUUCUUUUUCGUCUUAAUUGCUAUCAUUGUUUUCAGCAAAAACUUUCCAAAUGUAAAAGAAGAAACAAAACGUAGAAAAGCUGGUAUAAAAUUAGUUGGUCUCGUUGCAUUUGCCUAUUUGGCUUUUAUAUGGAUAUUGUUUGAAUUGAGUGGUGUGUGGCCGUAUUCUUUCAUGUUUUCGUUCAAUCGAUUAGAUUAUUGUACUUUUUGUUUAUGUGUUUUCCUAUUGU